rnacentral:lncRNA from 1 species
CUUCCUCUUCAUCCCCUCUACUGUGGAUCCACCACAAAAGGUUUGUAAGUGAGUUUCCAUCAUCAUAGCCAUUCAGUUUCCUGAUCUUCUCCAAAGCCCCUUCUUUGUCAUAAAUCCCUUCCAUGGCAUAUAGAAACCCCUUCCACCCUUCUCCAACUCCCUCCCUUCCCAAAGCUGGCAAUGUCCAUUUCACCAGCUCUCUCGCAAACUGCACAUCAGAGAACAGAACCUCGGUGAUGGGCAAUACAGGUAACACCUGAAUUCCAAGCCUGCACUCUCUCCACUCAGGAGGAGCAAACCAAAGUCCACCGUCCCUCUUGUUAGCCCACAGAACACCCACCACCCGGUUCUCCCUUGUGAAAUCUUCUGCUUCUGCAUAUAUUUUAUCCCCUUCUCUCACAUGCCACCACGUUUGAGCUGCCUUUAUCUCCAUUGCUGCAAGCAUUGAUCCAGUGGCUACAAGAUGGGUGUCUCCAUAGGCUAAUCCCAUCAAUGCUGCAGAAUAGUAAGCAUUCACAGCUUCACUAGUGCUCUCUUGGUUCCGCCCAUCUGCAAAUUCGGUCAGCCCACUAGCCCAAGAAUGCAAUUUCCAUAAAUCAAAACACCUCAAACGAGGAUAGUUGGAACUCGAAUGCCUCCCUAAGGUCAUAAAAUCUGCCAUUAGGGAAUAAGCUUGAGGUCUAUACUUCCUCCCCCAUGCAGGGUCAAUCUUGGCCAGCACUGCAAUUGCAUAAAGAAAAUAACCAAGAUGGAAAUGGUGAUCGUUGUACACUCCAAAACCAAAAUCUGCCCCCGAAUCCGUUGAUCCUUGUCUAGUAACAAGUCCACCCCACUUUCCUUCAUAUAAGAAACCAUUCCCACUAAAAGUCCCAUCCAACCAUGGGGUAAUCGUAUUCUUCAAGAACUUCCUAAUCACCGGUAUCACAUCAAGAAAGCACACCUCCUCUGCAAUCAAUGCCAAUCUCGCCGCCCUGGCAAUCAAUUUCCCAUAAAAAUAAGACGAUGUUGUUGAUAUAUUGGAUGAAUUCAGAUCCUCAACAUCUCUGCAAAGCGCAGAAACAAUUUCAGGAAAUGAUUCUUCCUUGACCCCUUUAAUUGAAUUCCAGGUUAUUGAGACCGGGUCUAAUUUCAAUUUCCAUGAAUCUCCAACAACACCUACAAGCUCACCAUCAAUACUGUUAAACUUGAAAUCAUCCAAAACAGCGACCUCAUCAUCAGCCGACAAAAGCCGAAGAUGUAGAGGAUGAGCCAGCAUGAGCAAGUCUCCCCAUCCCUUCUUAUCCCAUCUGUACUCUAAACAAAAGGGCUUACUCAAUUCAGCUUUCCCUGAUAUGGGAUAGCAAGAGCUGAAUCUAUCAAGGAUCGACUCGAAUCUUGGAUUGGAAUCUGGCAGUAUGGCAAUCCGAAUUAUGCCGGAAUACGCAUCAGAAGUUAUGGAAGAAAUAUCAUGGGUCAAAUUAAUCGCAGAAGAAGUGUAAAGCAGCCAAGUUUGACCGUUGUUGAGCUUAAUGGUGUACUUGGUGCGAGAACUGCUUGGUGAGAAUGAGAGAAUCGCAUGGAUCGUCGUGAUGGAAAGGGCGGUCCCACCGGAGACGGCGCAGGUGAGAAACGGGCUUCCUCGGACCAGGAAAAACCGGAGAUUCGAGGAAGGGAGGUCUAGAGUGACGCUGAGAUCACUGAAGGAAGACACAAUGUGGCGUCUCUGAGAAUCUGGGUCAGUUUUGUUGGAGGCGGAGAUGGUGAGAUCAGGAUUGAAGAUUUGGUAGAUGAAAACAGAGGUCAAGAACUGAGAUGGGUAUGAGAGGGAGAGAGAGGAGGAGGAAGAUUUGAUGAGAUAGGGAUGAAUAUACUCAGGCUGAUCACCAUGUUUGAGAACAAAGUUUUGGAAGAAGGAAUUGGUGGGAAGUGGGGCAGUAAGGAGGUCGGGAGAAAAGAAGGGGGAAGGAUCAGGUAUGACUGAGGAUUCGAUUUUUGGAAAGAGGAAGGGGGAGGAUUGUGGAAUGUGAUGGUGGUGAUGGGGUUCUGCCAUGAUUGGUGAUGAAGGAGACAGAGGAGACAAAGGAGACAAAGGAGGAGGCGGAGAAGGAGGUGGAGUUAUGGUUUUGGGGGUUUUAGGUGGUUUUGAACGUUUUUUGAAGCUCUUGCUAAUCACGAGUUUGACUUUUCUUCUGAUUUUUUUCAACAUCUCGAGGUGAUUGAUUGGUGAGCCUUGACCCAACUGUUAAAUUAUCGAAGAACGCAAAUAGAUCGAGGAUUUGUUAGGGAUUUUGAUACAGAAAACGGAGAAAAUGGAGGCAAUGGAAACGGAGAAAAUGGAGGCUGUUUGCCUCUAAUUGGAUGGAACUUUCCACCCACAUUCACAACCAGAGUGGGGUAGGUUUGGCCCUUUUGGGUGGGACUUGAAUUAAGAAUGUGAAAACAGGGAAAUGGGGGAAGUAAGAGGAAGAAGAAUGGAUUGGAAGGGAAGUUUGUGGGCUCUGCAAGUUAUGGUUUUGAUGAAUGGCAUGAUUGCAAGACAUGUUAAAUGGUUUUCAAAGGAAUAUGUGUAGGGAGGGACAAGACACUGGGGUGGUUAGGGAAUGUUUGGCAUACAAGAAAGUAAUGGGGUGAAUAUUCCUUUUUUAAGUUUUUCAGAGAAUGAGUGAAGCUUCACAACAUUUAGACAAUGGAUGCCACCUAUUUUAACCAAUGCUAAUGUUUUGAACCCUUGAUUUAUAUAACCAAACACAUCUUUCAAUUUCAGGUAUUUGAUUUUGGGUAAUUUCUCUUAUUGCAAGAAAGCCUUGCUACAAAGAAAGAAUAGCAAGAAAAGAAGAAAAAUUUUAGAAAAUGUCAACCAUCCAUGAGAAUAAUGGUGUAGUCAUUCACACAAAGUCUCAUGAGAAUUUAUAACACUUCUUGAUAUCCGUUGUCUUAUAUUUUGGGCUUAGAUUUCAAAAGAAAGAAUCAAUUGUAUUUUGGGCUUGAAAUUUCUUUGGGGUUUUGGCCCAAAUUGGGUUUUUAAAUAAGCAAUUGGGUUUGGUCCAAACUAGUUUGAGCCCAAUUAGUCCAUUAAAAAUGUUUAAAACCCUUUUCAACAAAUUUAAUUUCCAAUAUCAAAAGAUUCAAAAUCUAAUUCGAAGCUUUUGUUUUAACCUAUUUUUGAAUGAAGAACCUACCCAACUGUACCAAAUUACACUACAUAUUAUAGUUAAUACCACAUAAGCAACGCCAACAAUCACUCUAACCCCAUUAUUUCCUGCAUAAUGAGAAUUUUUUUUAUAAUUGUUCUGUGAUUUAAAAAUAGGAAAAUUAUCAAAAAAGUGGGCUAAAGAUGAUAAUGUCUAGGAAGAACUUAUGAAUUCAUAUGAAGGACAAAAUUUAUCAUAGUAUAAUUAUGUAUUUGAAUGUGAUCUUUUAUAUAUAAAUAACUUCAUGAUGAUGAUAAGGAUAGUCUAUCAAUAUUUGCAUAUAUCGGUUUCCAAAAUAUCAUUUUUCCCUUUUGAAUAAUAUUUGCAUAUAAGGAUACUCAAUCAAUAUUUGCAUAUAAAUAACUUCAUGAUGAAUUCAUAUUAUUUUUUCUUUGACCUAUAUAUAUAUAUAUAUAUAGGUCAAAGAAAAAAUAAUAAAAUAUUAAAAUAAAAAAUUAUAUAUUUUUUUUGUUAUUUUCAUUAUAAUAAAUUAAAUUAUUUGAAAUAUACUUUUUUUUUUCAAGUUCUUUUUUUUUCUUCAAAAAACUUGAGAUUUUUUAGAGAAUCCGGUAAAAAAAAUUAAUUUUCAAUCUCUCCUAAAUAAAAAUCACGCCCUAAGGUUAUUAUGUCAUUAUAUAUAUAAUUAAAAGUUUUAUUAUUCUAAUAGAAUAAACAAUGAUUUUUCACGAGUACUCAUCAAUUGAAAAAUAUUCAACUAUUUGUUUGGUAAUAUAGCAUGUGAAUUUUUUUUUAAAAUAAAUUAAAUUAUGUUAUAAUGUAUUAUUACAUUAGUGUAUUUGUAUUAUAAGUAUACUGCAUUUAUGUUGUACCUAUAUUUUAUGACAAAAGUAAUGAUUCUAAAAAUACCUAUUCAUACCCUAUUGUAUCUUAUAUAAAAGUUAUUAGUAUUUUCUCAUUUAAAAAAAAAAAGUAUAUCCAAAUUAUAAAUCUAACCUCUAUUUUUAAAUUAAUUUCAAGGUAAAAAGAUGAAAAGAAUGUUAAGUACAACGUAUGUCUUCAACCAAGAUAAAGGAAAGGAUCAAUUAUGUGUAAAAGAGAGACUCAAAUAAAGUAGAAGAGUUCAAGUAAAGGUGUGAGCAAGUCUUACGCAUGAGAGAUUGGAAAUAAAUAUUAUGGAGAGAGUUAGAGAACGCACAACCAUAAGAGAUAAGAAAUAAAUAUUAUGGAGAGAGUUAGAGAGCGCACAACCAUGAGAGAGAAGGUUUGAAGCCUUGUUGUCAAGUUCAAAGGGAAAUUGGAACUCAAACUAAUGCAUCAACACUAACCCUAACUUUGAGUUUAAUUCUAGGUAGACUCCUAUGAGUUUUAUGAUAAAUCGCACAUAUAGUUUGGAAGCUUUUAAAAGUCAGAAAUCCAACUCUUUAAAUUAUUUGUAAAUCAAAGUUAAAACAAAGAAGAUAUGAUAAACCCAAUUGAAUUACAUGGAAAAAAAAUAGUCUAAUUUAAAAAUUACAAAUUAAGCUCUAAAUAGUGUUCAAUCAUUUGGACCUCAAAGGCAAUACGACAAAGAAAAAGGCACCGGUGAAAUUUGAAACCCAACAUUCAUUUUGAAUAUAGGGACACUAUUUUAAACCCAAAACACGGAGGAAACAAAAUAAGUAUUGGUUGAGUUUGAAAUAAUCGGUAGAUUUCAAACUCAACUAGUUAAUUUUGUACUAAACCAUUUUAGAGACUUAGGCCACUUAUGAGUAUGAGAAAGCAAAACAUUAUUGAGAUUUUGCUAUUUUUUAUCUUAAAAAAGGUUGAAUAGUUCUAAAAUGAUCAUAGCUACCUUUUAGGUAGAUAAAUAACAAGAGUGGCUAUAAAGACUUUGUAGGCAAAAGGAGCAACAAGGGUGUUUUGGUAUUUUCCACAAACUUAUAUUUGUGUGUAUAUGUUAAGGUUAUUAUUAUUAUUAUUAUUAUUAUUCACUUGAAAGUCCUAAACUUUAUUGUUUAAUGAUCUAAUUUUAUUAGAAGUUUGUUCUUUCUUAGGUUCCAAUUUGGGUGGUUCAACUCAAAUCUAACUAACCCAAUUUUGCAUGGACUUAGGUGAUUUAAUUUGUAAAUUAGGUUUGGCUUGGUCAAAAAAUAUCAACCUAGAUUAAAUUUAGGUUGGGCUUGGGUAAGGGUCUCAAGAAACCUCAACCUAGCACAAACCCAAUUGUAUAUUUGUAUAAAAUUUAAAUUAUAAAUUUUUAUGUAUGUAUUGUAUGUAUGUAUAUAUAUUAUUUCAUGGUAUUGUACUGAGAAUCUUUUUGGUAAUGCUUUCAAAAAUUAUUUCUAGCUUAAAAAGUCAUUUUUGAAAAAAUGAUCAGACAAAAUUUAAAAAAUACUUUUAUAAAGUUAAAAAAUCACUUGUAGUGUAAACGACCUGAACAGUUGGAGAAAAGAAACUUAGCAUUUCACAUGAUGCUGAAGCAGAUGUGGAAUAGUUGUUCUUCAGUUUCAGCUAAGAAAUUGAGAAGACAGGGCAAUAUGCAUAAAUCAAUCCAGUCAUGGCUGCCCAAAGGAAAGAUUCAUCCAAUCUUCGGGCAUAAUUUAUUCGACUACAUCCCGAAUGUAAGGCAAAGAAUUUCACUGAUAAUACUGGCCAAACCAGGAUAAUUUUCCUCCUUCAAGUCCCCCUUCCCCUUCAUCUCCUCUGCUGUGAAUCCACCACAAAAGGUUCGUAAGUGAGUUUCCAUCAUCAUAACCACUCAGUUUCCCGAUCUUCUCCAAUGCCACUUCUUUGUCAUAAAUCCCUUCCAUGGCAUAUAGAAACCCCUUCCACCCUUCUCCAACUCCCUCCCGUCCCAAAGCUGGCAAUGUCCAUUUCACCAGCUCUCUCACAAACCCCACAUCGGAGAACAGAACCUCGGUGAUGGGCAAUACAGGUAACACCUGAAUUCCAAGCCUGCACUCUCUCCACUCAGGAGGAGCAAACCAAAGUCCACCGUCCCUCUUGUUAGCCCACAGAAUACCCACCACCCUGUUCUCCCUUGUGAAAUCUUCUGCAUACAUUUUAUCCCCUUCUCUCAC